UACGUAGGUGGCGAGCGUUGUCCGGAAUUAUUGGGCGUAAAGAGCGCGUAGGUGGGAUCAUAAGUCUGGAUGUGAAAUUGCGGGGCUCAACCCCGUACUGCGACGGAAACUGUGAUUCUUGAGUGCAGGAGAGGAAAGCGGAAUUCCCAGUGUAGCGGUGAAAUGCGUAGAUAUUGGGAGGAACACCAGUGGCGAAGGCGGCUUUCUGGACUGUGUCUGACACUGAGGCGCGAAAGCCAGGGGAG
rnacentral:rRNA from 1 species